CAAUCUCUGCAGGCUGGCGGCCCCUCAUGCCAUGCUGGGCAAGUAUCUCUUUGAACGUCUCACCCUCAAGCACGACUAGAAAA
rnacentral:pre_miRNA from 1 species